CAGCCGCCGCGGGAAAACGGAGGGGGCUAGCGUUGUUCGGAAUUACUGGGCGUAAAGCGCACGUAGGCGGCUUGGUAAGUUAGAGGUGAAAGCCUGGAGCUCAACUCCAGAAUUGCCUUUAAGACUGCCGAGCUAGCAGGUGAGAGAGGUAAGUGGAAUUCCGAGUGUAGAGGUGAAAUUCGUAGAUAUUCGGAAGAACACCAGUGGCGAAGGCGACUGACUGGACAAGUAUUGACGCUGAGGUGCGAAAGCGUGGGGAGCAAACAGGAUUAGAUACCCCUGUAGUCCCUGUCUCUUAUAC
rnacentral:rRNA from 1 species